AACGCUGGCGGCGUGCCUAAUACAUGCAAGUCGAACGCACUGACGUCGACCGAAGCUGCUUGCAGUGGACGUUGAUUGACGUGAGUGGCGGACGGGUGAGUAACACGUGGGUAACCUACCCUUAAGUGGGGGAUAACAUUUGGAAACAGAUGCUAAUACCGCAUAACCAUUCAGACCACAUGGUCUGAAUGUAAAAGACGGCCUUUGGCUGUCACUUUUGGACGGACCCGCGGCGUAUUAGUUAGUUGGUAAGGUAACGGCUUACCAAGACAAUGAUACGUAGCCGACCUGAGAGGGUAAUCGGCCACAUUGGA
rnacentral:rRNA from 2 species